UCGAUGGUAGGUUAUACGCCUACCAUGGUAGUAACGGGUAACGGAGAAUAAGGGUUCGACUCCGGAGAGGGAGCCUGAGAAACGGCUACCACAUCCAAGGAAGGCAGCAGGCGCGCAAAUUACCCACUUCCAGAACGGAGAGGUAGUGACGAAAAAUAACGAGACAGUCCUCUUCGAGGUCUGUCAUCGGAAUGGGUACAAUUUAAAUCCUUUAACGAGGUUCUAUUGGAGGGCAAGUCUGGUGCCAGCAGCCGCGGUAAUUCCAGCUCCAAUAGCGUAUAUUAAAGUUGUUGCGGUUAAAACGCUCGUAGUUGGAUCUGCGGUCGAGGAGAACGGUCCCCCGAAAGGGUGGUCACUGUCUCUCCUAGCCUAAAUUCGAGUCGUCUCUAGGUGCUCUUUACCGGGUGCCUAGAGUGACUAGAACGUUUACUUUGAAAAAAUUAGAGUGCUUAAAGCAGGCGAAAUAGCCUGAAUAAGGUGCAUGGAAUAAUGGAAUAGGACCUCGGUUCUAUUUUGUUGGUUUUCGGAGCCUGAGGUAAUGAUUAAGAGGAACAGACGGGGGCAUUCGUAUUCCGGCGCUAGAGGUGAAAUUCUUGGACCGCCGGAAGACGGACGACUGCGAAAGCAUUUGCCAAGAAUGUUUUCAUUAAUCAGGAACGAAAGUUAGAGGUUCGAAGGCGAUCAGAUACCGCCCUAGUUCUAACCGUAAACGAUGACAACCAGCGAUUAAUCGGCGUUAAUAUACGACCCGAUUAGCAGCUUCCGGGAAACCAAAGUUUUUCGUUUCCGGGGGAAGUAUGGUUGCAAAGCUGAAACUUAAAGGAAUUGACGGAAGGGCACCACCAGGAGUGGAGCCUGCGGCUUAAUUAGACCCAACACGGGAAAACUCACCCGGCCCGGACACCGUAAGGAUUGACAGACUGAGAGCUCUUUCUUAAUUCGGUGGGUGGUGGUGCAUGGCCGUUCUUAGUUGGUGGAGCGAUUUGUCUGGUUAAUUCCGAUAACGAACGAGACUCUGGCCUAUUAAAUAGACGGUAUAUCAUCUAAGUAUAUCGCACUUCUUAGAGGGACAAGCGGCGUCUAGCCGCAUGAAAUAGAGCAAUAACAGGUCUGUGAUGCCCUUAGAUGUCCGGGGCUGCACGCGCGCUACACUGAAAGAAUCAGAGUGCGCUAUACCUAGUUCGGAAGAACCGGGUAACCCAAGUAAAUUCUUUCGUGCUUGGGAUAGGGAAUUGCAAUUAUUUCCCUUAAACGAGGAAUUCCCAGUAAAUGCGGGUCAUAAGCUCGCGUUGAUUACGUCCCUGCCCUUUGUACACACCGCCCGUCGCUACUACCGAUUGGAUGACUUAGUGAGGUCUUAGGACCGAGGUAAAGGUGCCUUAACGGGUGCUUUUGCUUUGGAAAUUUGAUCGUACUACGUUAUCUAGAGGAAGUAAAAGUCGUAACAAGGUU
rnacentral:rRNA from 1 species